AAUCCUCCCCCAACCUCUUCCCCGCCGCCCACCGCCUCAACUGCUCGCACUCUCCCCUCCCCUCCCCGCCGCGGCACCCAGCCGACCGACCCCUUCCCGACCCCCCCGUGGCGGAUCCGGCGAGCGGCGGUCUCCUCCGACGCCUUGUCCGCUACCUGGUUCAGUUUGGUGAUCACAAAUUUUGCAGUCCUGAGGCUUUGUUGUCAUUAAAGGGUACAUACAAAAAUAAGUCAGCAGCUAGCGAGCACCUUAAAGCUGUCUGCUGUUAUGGCUUCCAUGGCGACCAACGAGAACCUCCCACCAACUGUCAUCAGGCAAUUGACUAAAGAACUGAAGAACCUUGAUGACUCACCUCCAGAAGGGAUCAAAGUUAUUGUUAAUGACGAUGACUUCGCCACUAUUUUUGCUGAUAUUGAGGGCCCUGCUGGAACUCCAUAUGAGAAUGGAAUAUUCCGGAUGAAGCUAAUAUUAUCUCGUGACUUCCCUCAGUCACCUCCAAAAGGAUUUUUCACGACUAAAAUUUUCCAUCCGAACAUUGCAACUAGUGGUGAGAUAUGUGUUAACACAUUGAAGAAGGAUUGGAAUCCUAGCCUUGGAUUAAGGCAUGUUCUGCUGGUAGUGAGAUGCCUCCUGAUUGAGCCAUUUCCUGAAUCUGCCCUGAAUGAACAAGCUGGGAAGUUGCUGCUUGAGAACUAUGAGGAGUAUGCACGGCAUGCAAGGCUAUAUACCAGUAUCCAUGCUCUCAGACCCAAGAGCAAGUCCAAGAGUGGAGCUAUCUCUGAGUCAACGGCAGCUCUGAAUAAGGGCCAGCCUCAUACUGUUCUUGCGCCAAUAUCUACCUCUACCGGCACAAAAGCAUUUGGCCCAAAUUCGCAGGACCGGAACGCUGCUCCUUCUGCUGUCUCAGGUGGAGCAUCGGCAGCGCCCAGGAAGGACGGGCCACUUGCCGUGAAAGUCCCCGUCGAUAAGAAGAAGAUGGAUGCGAGGAAGAAGAGUUUGAAGAGAUUAUAAUAUAUAAGCAAACCAAACUGUCAAUGCUCCUCAUAUUUGUUCUGUACUUAGUUGUCUGGCGGUGCCAGAGUCCCAGAAAUAACGAGAAGAAACUGGUUAUGGUUGUCUGCGAGGGAAGGAUUGCUUCUCUUCUGUUCGUGCCCAACUAUUGGACCCUGUUGAGCCGAAACUGUGGAGGCAGAAUAAUUAUGCGCUGCUGGGCCUCUCCUGGUCCUGUAUACUUUACUAGUGCUGCUGUUCCGGCGUCUGUUUGUGAUUUAAUGGUUCGAUGUGAACUUGAAUGGCGGAGAAACAUUUUCUUCCCAAUAGGUGGUAGAGAUUUUUCUAUCUGAAAAGAAACAGUAAUUUUGCAAAGUCAUCAAACUUGGUGAUUUAGCUCUGGCUAUAUAUAUGCUCAUCAAAAUCAAGUGAUUUAAAC
rnacentral:rRNA from 1 species